rnacentral:lncRNA from 1 species
AGUUGAAGUUUCUCAUCUACAGUGUAGGUGUCAGUAUCCCACCUCCUUCCUGCCUUCUAUGCUGCCUACUGAGAAGAAGCUGGUGAUCCUGCAGUGGGAAGGAACAUUGAUGGUCAGUAGCUGAACCAAAAGAAGGAAUACUGAUGCUUCAAGUCUAAGGUCUCACCCGCUUGAAGUCCUCAGUGUCUGGCCAUGAAACACCACUGGGGGGAGAGGGGGCUUGAAUUCAUCCUUAACAGGCACAAAGGU